UACAGAGGGUGCGAGCGUUAAUCGGAAUUACUGGGCGUAAAGGGCGCGUAGGUGGUUAGAUAAGUUGGAUGUGAAAUCCCUGGGCUUAACCUAGGAACUGCAUACAAUACUGUUUAACUGGAGUGCAGUAGAGGGUAGUGGAAUUUCCGGUGUAGCGGUGAAAUGCGUAGAUAUCGGAAGGAACACCAGUGGCGAAGGCGGCUACCUGGACUGACACUGACGCUGAGGCGCGAGAGCGUGGGGAGCAACAGG
rnacentral:rRNA from 1 species